GCCUGCGGCAGUGCAGGAACCCAGCUGGGGCACCCUGACCCUCUGGCCAUGCCCUUCUGCUCCUGUGCAGGGGACAGCAGAGGGGAGCUCGGGGACUGACAUCCCAAAGGCCUGGUCCCCUCCUUGCUCUCGCAGCCAGUCCUUGCUCUAGGACAGCGACCCAUGUCUGCAGCCCGACCCAGCCCACCCACAGAGCCCGGCGUCCCAGAGCUGCUGGGGGGCACGGUGGUCGGGAAGUGAGUGGUUGGGCAGUCCUCCGCAGGGCUGCUGCCAGAUCUCAGCCUCGGAGGUUUCCCUGAAACAGAGCCAACGCCCGCAAAGACCUGGGCAGACCGCAGGGGCCAGGGGAUCAGGGGACCGGGUCCCUCAUUAGAGUCAGAAAAAUGCUCCCAGGAGGACGCCAGGCUGCUGAGGCCUGUGGCUGACACCAGGGGGCAGGGCGGGGCGGCGGGGACAGCGGCCGGAGGAGGGAGCCGCCCAGACCCAGCCCGGGGGCGAACGAAGGGCGGGCGUGGUGGGCGCCUGCUAGCUCCGGCUUGCGGUGUUGCGCCUUUGCGACAUCGCUCGGGGAGGGGAGAGCCCCGGGCCCGGCCGCCCCGCGCCGUGGCCGGGAAGGGGGACACAGCGCACGCGUGCGGCGCCCGACGGCGUCUCCCAGCACGCCCGAUCCCCCGUGCAGGCGGCGGCCCGGCCCCUUUCCAAGCACAACAGCGGCCCCGCCGCGGCCCCGCGCUGACCCACUUUCCCUCCCGCCUCCUCGGCCCGAGGCCGAGAAUCCAGCGGCCGCCGCCAAGCAGGGAGGUUGGGAAGAGACUUCUUGCUUUGCUCACGCCUGUAAUCCCAGCACUUUGGGAGGCUAAGGUAGGAACAUCCCUUGAACUCAGGAAUUCAAGCCAACCUGGGCAACAUAGCAAGACUUCAUCUCUACUAAAGGAAAAAACAAUCCAUUUUCCUCUUCUUCCAGCCCAACAGAUCUGUGGCUGGGCAGCAGCUGUUGAGCUCCACUACAUCUCCUGCCUGCUUUGCAGUUAGGCUUGUCCAUAGGACCAAGUUCUCAGCGACAGAGUAAGAGCAGGCCUGUGAUAGGAGGCUCUUCUGUACCUGGGCCUCCAAGCUGCCUAGAAUCUGGCUGUGGCAGUGCCCUAGGGGAGGUGAGCAGCGGGAGAGAAGGGUCCUGGGGUUUUGGGGGACCAGGAGGAGCAGAGCUGCUGCUCAGCCCAGACCUAUAACCUGAGAAAGUAAGAGUGAGGGCUCAUUUUAUGUGUUAACUUAAAUAUCUGGCCACAUUGCUCAGAUAUUUGAUUAGACACUAUUCUAGAUGUUUUUAUGGAGGUAUUUAUUGAUUGAUUUAUUGAUUGAUUGAGACAGAGUCUCACUCUGUUGUCCCGGCUAGAGUGCAGUGGCACAAUCUUAGCUCACUGCAACCUCUGCCUCCCAGGUUCAAGCGAUUCUCGUGCCUCAGCCUCCCAAGUAGCUGGGAUUACAGGCAUGUGCCACCAUGCCCUGCUAAUUUUUGUAUUUUUAGUAGAGAUGGGGUUUCACCAUGUUGGCCAGGUUGGUCUCCUGACCUCAAGUGAUCUGUCCGCCUCGGCCUCCCAAAGUGCCGGAAUUACAGGCCUGAGCUACCACACCUGGCAAAAGUAUUUUUUAAGAUAAGAUUAACCUUUAAAUCAGAAGAUUUUGAGUAAAGCAGAUUAUUCUCCACAAUGCGGGCAGAUCUCAUCCCAUCAGUUGAAGACCUUAAGAGAAAAGAGACUGACCUGCUCCGAGCAAGGAGGAAUUCUGCUAGCAGACUGCUCGUGAACUCCAACUUGGAAUAUCAGUCUCCAGCCUACCAGCUUACUCUGCAGAUUUUGGAUUUACCAAGCCUCCACAAUUGCAGAAGCCAAUUCCUUAAAAUAAAUCCCUUAAAACAGUUCCCUAAAAUAAAUUCUUCAAAAUUCCUUAAAAUAAAUAUGUGUGCAUGUGUGUGUCUGUGUAUAUAUAUAUCCUAUGUAAUGUCUAAUAUAGAUCUAUAAUAUAUAUUAGAUAAAUAUACACAUAUUUUUCAUAUAUAUGUGUGUGUGUGUGUGUAUGUUUCUCCUAUUGGUUCUGUUCUCUGGAGAACCUGACUAAUACUGAAACAGAUCUGUUUUUUCAUCUACCCUCUGUAUCAUCGGGUCUCUUUGUUAGAACAGGUGAGCCUUACCCUAACUAAUUCAGAGGUGGAUUCGUUUUCAUGCAUGUAGCUACUUCUUGUUUAGCUUCUAUUAUCUGCCUGUAUUUUAAGGUUCUUUGUCUUCAUAUGACUCCAGGA
rnacentral:lncRNA from 1 species